rnacentral:lncRNA from 1 species
UCGCCGAGGUUGGGGGUUCAGAGAAGGGGCUGCUGUUCUCAUGAUUUCAGCCUUUCCUUCCUUGUCCCAGCCCCUGAGAAGAGGCGCGCCUGGGAGGUUCCUUCCGUUCCACAGCCUGAUCGUGGCCGUGCAUUUAUGGAGCUCCGAGUGUGUGCCCCGUCUCCACGAGACCGUCAAUGUUCUGUAUGUGCGGUCGGAGUAAGGCAUUCAGACGGCGGGUCAGAGCCCGGGCCUUGGCGGAAGGCAGAUGUGGAAAGCCGGCUUCAAACAAGGAGGGGGGAGAGAGUGCGCGAGAGAAGCAGAGAGAGAGAGAGUGGGGGAGAGAGACACAGAAGGUGAGGAACAGAGACACGCACACGGGGGAACGGAGGAGAGGGCGGAGUGAGAGGGAGACACACAGGAAGAGGCAGAGACGAGGAGAGACAGAGAGACAACACGAAACAGAGAGAAAGACCGAAACACAGAAAGAACCAGGAAGGCCAGGAGACAGGCACACCCCGGCCACGGCGGCAGGCUGGGGGGCUGCUGGGUCACAUACCCUCCGCUCCCAGCCCCACGGGCCUGGCUUCUCAGCUACAGUUUCUGCUCAAGGAAAUUGAGACCCCUGAGGACCGGCCCAGACCCUCAGCAGCACCUGAGCUGGGCCAGGGCCUGGGCCUCUGCGAGCUCCCCUGCCCUGACGACCUGUCCCCCCAUACCAAGGACAGAGGGCCCAGGUCCACAAGCCUUUGCCCACUCCGUGCCUCAGUUUCUCCAGCUGCCAAAUGAGCAGGCUAGCUUAGGGAAGCCCUGCUGUCUUCUGUCAUCCACAGACUACUCUCCCCAUGUUGCCCACGUAUAACUGAACAUUUUUUUUUUAAGUUUAUGUAUUUAUUUUUGAAAGAGAGAGAGAGAGAAAGGGAGGGACAAAGGGAGAGAAAGGAUCCCAAGCAGGCUCUGGGCUGUCAGCACAGAGCCCAAUGUAGGGCUCGAUCUUAGAAACCGUGAGAUCAUGACCUGAGCCAAAACCAAGAGCUGGGUGCUAACCGACUGAGCCACCCAGGCGCCACUGAACAUUUUUCUUUCUUGUUUUUUAAGUUCAUUUUUAUUUAUUUUUGAGGGAGAGAGAGAGAGAGAGAGAGAGCGAGAGAGAGAGCACGCAUCCCACGCAGGCUCCAUGCUGUCAGUGCAGAACCUGAUGCAGGGCUCGAACUCACAAACCAUGAGAUCAUGACCUGAGCUGAACUCAAGAGUCAGACGUUUAACCCACUGAGCCACCCAGGCACCCCAAACACUUUUCUUUUGAUCAAGCUAUUUAUAUUAAAAAAAAGAUGUAGAUCUAUUUUUCCUUCCCUUUUUAUUUUCAUUUUAGAGAGAGGGAGAGCAAGCAGGGGAGAGGGACAGAGGGAGAGAGAGAAUCACAAGCAGGAUUCACACUCAGCAUGGAGCCUGACUGGGGGUUUGAUCCCACAACGCUGGGAUCACAAACUGAGCUGAAAUCAAGAGUCGUACACUCAAACUGACUGAGCCACCCAGGCACCUCGAGACUUAGAUGUAUUUAAAGAAAAAAGGAUAACUCACCACUCAGGCUGCCGUGAGUCAAGGUCAGCUGUAAAGGUAAAUGUAACAAACACCUCAAUCUUAUCCAACUCUGACCUGAGAGCAAGCCUAAAGCCUGCUCUCUCUUCGUUAAGAAGACAACCAAACAUUGGAGAGGUGUUACAGACAGGUCAAGAGCAUCCAGGGGCUGUGGGACAGGAGCAAGUGAUCUAACACAUGUGUAAUCAGAAUCCCAGAAGGAAAAAAAAAAAAAAAAAAAGAAUCCCAGAAGAAGAAGACAAGAGGCUGAAGAGUAUUUUAAGAGAGAAUGGCCAAUAACUUUAAAAAGUCAAAGACAUUAAACCACAGAUCCCAUAGCUCAGAAAAUACCAACAGAAUAAAUACCCACCCAAGCACA